GACGAACGCUGGCGGCGUGCUUAACACAUGCAAGUCGAACGGAAAGGCCCUGCUUGCAGGGUACUCGAGUGGCGAACGGGUGAGUAACACGUGGGUGAUCUGCCCUGCACUUCGGGAUAAGCUUGGGAAACUGGGUCUAAUACCGGAUAGGAGCCAUCUUUAGUGUGGUGGUUGGAAAGUUUUUUCGGUGUAGGAUGAGCUCGCGGCCUAUCAGCUUGUUGGUGGGGUAAUGGCCUACCAAGGCGGCGACGGGUAGCCGGCCUGAGAGGGUGUACGGCCACAUUAGAACUGAGAUACAGCCCAGACUCCUACGGGAGGCAGCAGGGGGGAAUAUUGCACAAUGGGCGCAAGCCUGAUGCAGCGACGCCGCGUGGGGGAUGAAGGCCUUCGGGUUGUAAACUCCUUUCGCUAGGGACGAAGCUUUUUUGUGACGGUACCUAGAUAAGAAGCACCGGCUAACUACGUG
rnacentral:rRNA from 1 species